GGUUAAGUUAGAAAGGGCGCACGGUGGAUGCCUUGACACUAGGAGUCGAUGAAGGACGGGACUAACGCCGAUAUGCUUCGGGGAGCUGUAAGUAAGCUUUGAUCCGAAGAUUUCCGAAUGGGGAAACCCACCAUACGUAAUGGUAUGGUAUCCUUAUCUGAAUACAUAGGGUAAGGAAGACAGACCCAGGGAACUGAAACAUCUAAGUACCUGGAGGAAGAGAAAGCAAAUGCGAUUUCCUGAGUAGCGGCGAGCGAAACGGAACAUAGCCCAAACCAAGAGGCUUGCCUCUUGGGGUUGUAGGACAUUCUAUACGGAGUUACAAAGGAACGAGGUAGACG
rnacentral:rRNA from 1 species